AGCAGCCGCGGUAAUUCCAGCUCCAAUAGCGUAUAUUAAAGUUGUUGCAGUUAAAAAGCUCGUAGUUGAAUUUCGGAAUCUGUCCAUCGGUCGGGCUUCAUUGUUCGUACUGGUGUGGUGGGUUCUUACCUUCUGAAUAACCAGCAUGCCAUUCACUUGGUGCGUUGGGGAAGCAGGACUAUUACCUUGAAAAAAUUAGAGUGCUCAAAGCAGGCCAGUGCCUGAAUACAUUAGCAUGGAAUAAUAAAAUAGGACGGCAUGGUUCUAUUUUGUUGGUUUCUAGGAUCACCGUAAUGAUUAAUAGGGAUAGUUGGG
rnacentral:rRNA from 1 species